rnacentral:rRNA from 1 species
AGAUUGAACGCUGGCGGCAGGCCUAACACAUGCAAGUCGAGCGGUAGAGAGGUGCUUGCAUCUCUUGAGAGCGGCGGACGGGUGAGUAAUGCCUAGGAAUCUGCCUAGUGGUGGGGGAUAACGUUCGGAAACGGACGCUAAUACCGCAUACGUCCUACGGGAGAAAGCGGGGGACCUUCGGGCCUCGCGCCAUUAGAUGAGCCUAGGUCGGAUUAGCUAGUUGGUGAGGUAAUGGCUCACCAAGCGACGAUCCGUAACUGGUCUGAGAGGAUGAUCAGUCACACUGGAACUGAGACACGGUCCAGACUCCUACGGGAGGCAGCAGUGGGGAAUAUUGGACAAUGGGCGAAAGCCUAGAUCCAGCCAUGCCGCGUGUGUGAAGAAGGUCUUCGGAUUGUAAAGCACUUUAAGUUGGAGGAAGGUUGUAACCUAAUACGUUGCAACUUUGACGUUACCGAACAGAAUAAGCAACCGGCUAAACUUCGUGCCUAGUAGACCG